rnacentral:rRNA from 1 species
UGGCAGACGGGUGAGUAACGCGUGGUAACGUACCCUUUACUACGGAAUAACUCAGGGAAACUUGUGCUAAUACCGUAUGUGCCCUUCGGGGGAAAGAUUUAUCGGUAAAGGAUCGGCCCGCGUUGAAUUAGCUAGUUGGUGGGGUAAAGGCCUACCAAGGCGACGAUCCAUAGCUGGUCUGAGAGGAUGAUCAGCCACAUUGGGACUGAGACACGGCCCAAACUCCUACGGGAGGCAGCAGUGGGGAAUAUUGGACAAUGGGCGCAAGCCUGAUCCAGCCAUGCCGCGUGAGUGAUGAAGGCCCUAGGGUUGUAAAGCUCUUUCACCGGUGAAGAUAAUGACGGUAACCGGAGAAGAAGCCCCGGCUAACUUCGUGCCAGCAGCCGCGGUAAUACGAAGGGGGCUAGCGUUGUUCGGAAUUACUGGGCGUAAAGCGCACGUAGGCGGUUAUUUAAGUCAGGGGUGAAAUCCCAGAGCUCAACUCUGGAACUGCCUUUGAUACUGGGUACCUAGAGUAUGGAAGAGGUAAGUGGAAUUCCGAGUGUAGAGGUGAAAUUCGUAGAUAUUCGGAGGAACACCAGUGGCGAAGGCGGCUUACUG